rnacentral:sRNA from 1 species
CCCAAAAUGCUGAGAUUACAGGCAUGAGCCACUGCGCCCAGCCAAUGUUUUCUUGAGAUUUUAAAUGUGGGGCUAUUGAAUACACGAGUGGGGGCUGGAGUGUUUGUGCUUUUCUAGCCCUCAGCAUCUGCAGAUGGGCCAAGCUGUAGCAUCCACCCCUUACUGCCUGCAGCUGCCCCUGAGCCCGGACCUGCCCAGCCCCCAGCCCUUCGCUUUGCCUCUGGGCAGCCCUCGAAUCCCACUCCAGGCGCAGCAGAGCUCAGAGGCCCGCGUCAUCCGCAUCAGCAUCAACAAUGAUCACGGGAACCUGUAUCGAAGCAUCUUGCUGACCAGUCAGGACAAAGCCCCCAGCGUGGUCCAGCGAGCCUUGCGGAAGCACAAUGUGCCCCAGCCCUGGGCCCGUGACUAUCAGCUCUUUCAAGUCCUUCCUGGGGACAGGG